rnacentral:tRNA from 1 species
GCAGUUAUAGUAUAAAGAUUACUUUACAUUUUCAUUGUAAAAAUGAGAAAACUUUCUCUAACAGCU